rnacentral:rRNA from 1 species
AAGCGCGAUAAGGGCAUUUGGUGGAUGCCUUGGCAUGCACAGGCGAUGAAGGACGUAAUACGCUGCGAUAAGCUACGGGGAGCUGCAAAUGAGCAUUGAUCCGUAGAUUUCCGAAUGGGGUAACCCACCUUAGGUGUCUAGGAAAGUAUACUAUAAGGUUUAAUUUUCUAGGUACUUGAAGGUAUCUUUACCUGAAUAAAAUAGGGUAAAAGAAGCGAACGCAGGGAACUGAAACAUCUAAGUACCUGUAGGAAAGGACAUCAAUUGAGACUCCGUUAGUAGUGGCGAGCGAACGCGGAUCAGGCCAGUGGUAGGGAAGAUUUAAGUAGAAUUAUCUGGGAAGGUAAGCCAUAGAAGGUGAUAGCCCCGUACACGUAAUAAUUUUUUCUAUCCUUGAGUAGGGCGGGACACGUGAAAUCCUGUUUGAAGAUGGGGCGACCACGCUCCAAGCCUAAGUACUCGUGCAUGACCGAUAGUGAACCAGUACCGUG